rnacentral:misc_RNA from 1 species
UAUUGUUUAUAAAGCAAAGCAGUUUAUACAACGUAAUUAUUGCCUACAAUAGGUCUAAUAGACCGAAUCAAUGGCAUCGUAGCAUUUUGAAUCAAAUUCAAAAAGCUACAUUAGAAUAAAAAAGAAGUUUUCAAAUGAAAUUCAAAAAUCUGCAAGAACUUUGAUACAGAUCAUACACAUGCUUCACAAAGAACAAAUUCUGGGAAAGAAACAUUAUUUCUCCAUUGAUACAGAUUAUACAUAGCUUUGCCUUCAUUCUUCUAUGUUCUUUUCCAGUAAGAAGUUAUGUAUCAUAUUCUAUAUCAGAUUUUUCAGACCACCUCAUCAAUGAUUGCAUCCUAGUGGGUGGUGUGCAAUCUCUGAAAAUAGAAUAUAUUAUACAACUCACUUAGCUUCAGAGCAUUUAACUAGUUAUAAGAUGCAACUGCAUGAAAAGAUGAGGAAAAUAAAACAAUAUUUAUAUCAAUUUAGUUUGGAAAGUAUACAUUUAUAUAGGAUGACAAAUAUCACUCUGCUACAACAAUGCACACACCUAGGUGGUAAUCAUUC